ensembl:lncRNA
ACUCACAAAGACGCAAUAGCUUCCUUUAAAUGUGUCUAUUGUGCCCACAGCAGGGGCUGAUGGGAGCUUUGAGGACCUGUUAGAAACCACGUGGCCCUCGUCUGAUCUCACAGCUCGUCCUUGUUUGGCCUCAGCUGCAUCAGAGCGCCACUUCUCCCCAGGUUCACCAGAGGAAACACCACUGCACAAAAUGCUUUUCCUCCCAGCUGCUGCUCUGUGCUGUCUGUGUUCAGCGCUGGUUACCAUGGCAGCACAGCUGUUUCAGGAUGAUCCAGAACUGACCAAGAGAGUUGGAGAAAGUGUCUCCAUCGACUGUGAUGGGACUAACCAGUGUACCAGUCUGAGUCGGGUAAAUUGGUACCAGAAGAAAGAAACAGGAACAUUCAAAGAUUUUCAAACUGCAUCUACACUCAACAUAAAGAACGUCGGACUUGAGCAUUCAGCCACCUACUACUGCUACUGUUGGGUUUCUCAUGCCCACAGAAACACAUGGAGCCACCUGAUCUUUGGCUCUGGAACUAAACUGUCUGUAACAGAUGGAAACCAGAAAAGAACGACACAGGCACCGAGAGUUCAUGCAAACACACAGCAGAGCCCCACCCGACCAGCAGCAGGACCCAGAGUCCACGUGGAUGUGAACAGCUCCCUGCUGUGUGUGCCCCCAGCCAUGUUUCCUCCUCUGGUCCAGCUGUCAUGUAAAAGACAGAAGAAGAACGGCCGGCUGGAGGAGCUGGAGCUCAGAGAGUCAGGACGCAACGCCUCCAUCGUACUGAUCCAUCAGAACAGCACAUAUAAAUGUAACUGCUACGUGAAGCACGAGGGGGGCACAGUGGAGGCCCAAACACAACAAGAGGUUCCAGCUCCAGCAGCCUCCUGUCCUCCAGAGAGAGAGCCAGCAGACCUGCCAGCUCUGCAGCCAGCUGACUGUAAGAUCACCUGCUGCCUCUCUGCAUGGACAGCUCCAAUGUCCAAUGAGGGAGCUGGAACAAGUUUAGGGACUCAGUCUUAAAGUGUCACUAAUUGAUCAAAUCUUCAUCCAACAAGCUCUGAUAAAGCCACUGUACACUAGCUGCUCAGCACCAAACAGCAGACAGACCAUAAUAUGUCAGAGAUCAGUUUGUUAGCUGCUUGUGGAGUUCUUCUGCCCCCAAGUGGACACAAACACUACAUCAAUUCAUCCACUUGAAGAAGAAGCUGUGACUGUUUCUAUUUGGACUUUUUCUCCUUGAUCUGAGAGGAAUAACC